GUCUUAUUGAUGUAUUUGGGUCUUUCAUCAUUAUAAACAUUUACAACUUUUAAUUAAUUACACUUGGGAUUCUAGACGUAAAAAAGGUUUUCAAAACCUGAAAAUUUUAGAUCUGGAUUAGAAGUUUCUAAUGUAAAAGCUACGAUUUGAAGUAAUAAGCAUUUAUUUGAGACUGCUCAACAAUUCAGUAAACCCUUUGUUUUAAAUGGGAAAAGUUGAAAAAACCACAAAUUAAAAACGUUUUGCUAGGAAGCUUAAUCGCAUCGAAAAUUGGCUUCGCAGUUUGAUACAACAAAGGGUUGCGACUCAAGCCGAUAAAUCACUAAAAGAACGCCCUUCGCGACAGCUUAACAUGAGGAUCUGCUUUUACAUAGACACACAAAUAGAAACAUCCAUGGUACAAAGCCACAAGGAUACAAGGAUAAAAAAAAAAACAGAAAUUAAUAUGAUUUUUGUCAACAUCAACAUCAUAAGA